GAUGAACGCUGGCGGCGUGCCUAACACAUGCAAGUCGAGCGAGAAGCUUAUGACUGAUACUUCGGUUGAGAGACUAAGUGGAAAGCGGCGGACGGGUGAGUAACGCGUAGGCAACCUGCCCUUUGCAGAGGGAUAGCCUCGGGAAACCGGGAUUAAAACCUCAUGACACUGUGUAUCCGCAUGGAUAGACGGUCAAAGAUUUAUCGGCAAAGGAUGGGCCUGCGUCUGAUUAGCCAGUUGGCAGGGUAACGGCCUACCAAAGCGACGAUCCAUAGCCGGCCUGAGAGGGUGAACGGCCACAUUGGGACUGAGACACGGGCCCAGACUCCUACGGGAGGCAGCAGUGGGGAAUAUUGCACAAUGGGGGAAACCCUGAUGCAGCGACGCCGCGUGAAGGAAG
rnacentral:rRNA from 1 species